rnacentral:rRNA from 1 species
CCUACGGGGGGCAGCAGUGAGGAAUAUUGGUCAAUGGGCGCGAGCCUGAACCAGCCAAGUCGCGUGAGGGAUGACGGUCCUACGGAUUGUAAACCUCUUUUGCCGGGGAGCAAGCGUGCGUUCGUGAACGCGCGUCGAGAGUACCCGGAGAAAAAGCAUCGGCUAACUCCGUGCCAGCAGCCGCGGUAAUACGGAGGAUGCGAGCGUUAUCCGGAUUUAUUGGGUUUAAAGGGUGCGUAGGCGGGAUGCCAAGUCAGCGGUAAAAAUGCGGUGCUCAACGCCGUCGAGCCGUUGAAACUGGCGUU